CGCCCAUUAAACGCAUUCUGAG
rnacentral:siRNA from 1 species